AAGCGUGCGCAGGCGGUUUUGUAAGUCUGUCGUGAAGCCCCGGGCGUUAACCUGGGAAUUGCGAUGGAGACUGCAAGGCUUGAGUUUGGCAGAGGGGGGUAGGAAUUCCACGUGUAGCAGUGAAAUGCGUAGAUAUGUGGAGGAACACCGAUGGCGAAGGCAGCCCCCUGGGUCAAAACUGACGCUCAUGCACGAAAGCGUGGGGAGCAAACAGGAUUAGAUACCCGGGU
rnacentral:rRNA from 1 species